rnacentral:lncRNA from 1 species
CCCGCCAAAACACACUAGAAUCUCCCCCAUUCCCAUUCACCAGGGUAUGAUCCCUAGAUUAUUUUUUUCUUCUCUUUUUCUUUCUUUCUUUAAUUUUCAGAUUUGUUUGUUGUAUUCUUAUGCUUAUUGUAGAGUUGUACUUAGAUGUUGUGUAGUAAUUGGUGAAAUAUGUUGUGGGGUUGGUUUGUGAUAAGUGUGGGGUGGGUGGUACUUUAUUUGGGCUAUGUAUGAGAUGUUGUGAAGAACCCUUGUUGCAAGACACUUGAAAAAAAGGUUACGAGAGCCUUAUGCUCACAAGGUGUUUGUGGAAAGGUCUCAUUGAGCAUGAUUAUGUAAUUGUGACAAAUUUUGAGUGUGAAGUUUGAGUAACCUCAUUAAGUCACAAGAUGUUUGUGGGGCUGAGCUAAUGUGUUCACAUUUUGCAGGUAUCAUGGCGCGAAAGAACCAAACCUCAGGUCCAUCAUCCAGUCGCUAAGUUGGCACAUCUCGGACACACAGGGCACCCCACGUCACUAUGACAGAAACAAAUUUGUUUCACCUGAGGCUCAUAACCGCUUUAUGGAGAAGGCCACAAAAAAGCCAAUUUCG